GUGACUCCAACCAGAUGUUGCUUUUGGCCAUCUUGCAAUACCAGCUAACUGCUCAUGAGGGAGUUGCCAGGUCAGCAACAGCCAAGCCCCAUCCAGCACUGUGAAUUGAGUUUUCUCUUGGAGGUGGCCUUCCAAAUCCUGAGGAGAGGGAGAAGAAAAAUCAGCGAGAAAAUCAGCUGCAAGAAAGGAGGGCUCAGCGAGCUUGGAGAGAGCUUGAUGGGAACUAAGUCCAAAUCUAAGAUCCAAGGGAGUCUAAGAAUUUGGAAUGUUCUUUCAACGAAUCACUCUGUGGGGCUGGAGCUAAUUCUAUCAGGACACAGGCAGGACAGGGCAGGCGGGUCUUUUGGUUCAGUUUUUUGCUGCUUUGCCAUCUGUACACUGCUGGAAAACCUAGGACACAACGGCAGAUUUCCACCAGGAAUAUAAUGUUGAAUGUUUAGCACACAGUCCUCUAGACUGUAAGCUCAGCGUAGGCAGGGAAUAUGCCUGUUAUAGUUUUAUAUUGUACUCUCCCAAGUACUUAGUACAAUGGUCUGCACACAGUAAGUGCUCAAUAAAUACUAUUGAUUGAUU